AUUUUUAGAAAAGCCCAAUUCACCCCCUCUCUUGGGCAUCGUGAUCCUUUCAGUCUCUCUCGUAAUUUCGGGAUAACGUGGACAACCUUGGCAGGAGAUGGUGGUUAGUAGGGCUGAAAAAUAAGCUCGAGCGAGCUAUGCAAAAUUAUUUAAUAUGAAUAAUAAUAAUAGAUAUUGAAUAAUUUUAUAGAGAGCCUGUUUGUUUCUUAGCGUUUCAUGAUAGAUAUAUGUCAAUUCAUAAUUUAGAUUACUCAUAAUAAUGAAUAAUAUCUAUAUAUUUUAUAUUUAUAUACUAAUAAUUCACUAAAUAAUUCAAUUAUAUAUAUCAUUGUGUGGCUCGCGAGCCGAACCGUGAAAUGGGCGAGCCGAGCCGAGCUCGGCUUGUUUCCAGCUCCAGUUGUUAACCCCAUCCUGAAUUAGAUCCAAUCUCACCGAAAUCAUCGUACUACAAAUCAAGUCGAUAUAACAAACAUAUAUGAUACGACUUUGUGAUGCCAGUAGAAAUCAAUCGGCAGCUUCAUCAGUGAUCAGUCCAGAUGUAAAGCUAAUCAUACAUUUGUGCAGAAAAGUCACUUCAGAGAUCAAAGCUUUAGAAUCCCUCACAAAACGAGAAGAUUACGCAUUGGACCCCAGCACAAGAUUCAAAUACAACCAAAGAUAGAUUGGGAGCCAUGAAAAAAAAGAAAAGCACGUACGGAUGGUCAAUCUCAACCCUACUCUUGUAUUUGUCGUCCAAAGACUAGAACCCAGCUAGAAAAAUGACAGCUAGAAAAAUGACGACUGCAUCUCUAUUUACACGGUGGGAAGUGGGAACCUGCCCUGGUUUUGUUUCUGUGGUCAUUGCACUAGUGGCAGACCGAUUUGGUACAUAACAAGAAAAACUGAAGCUGUUUCAAAGAACUCGUUUGGUACUUUGGCCACCAAUUUCUAGUGGGUCCAUGCAACUCCUGUACCCUUAAUCUUGAUCUCACUAGCAGAAGAAUUUUUACCGUAUAAGCCUCAAUGAAACAAUCUGGAUGUGGUUACGGAAGAUCCCUGUACUUGAGAACAUCAGUCUUGUCCAAAUCAUACUCCUGGCAUAUACUCGAAAUGGUAUGACAGUCCAAACCUUCAUAUAAGUUUCUACCCUCAAGAAACCUGUCAAGCUUUUCUGACGGCCGCAGCUUCUGUUCAUGAAAAAAAACAUUAAGGGCUAGUUUGAAAACACUAUUUUUUUAAGGGAUUCCUAUUUUCUCAAGGAAAAAUGAACUAAUUUUUCUUUGAAAAAUGAAAAUCUUUUGGGAAAAAAGGGUUCUCAAACUAGCCCUAAGACUGGUAGCAACGGUAGCCUGUAUAUUGCAUCCCCUAAAUACUAAUUUAAAGAUUCCUCCAAAAGAUUUCUUCCCGUAAAUAAAUUUUAUCCGCAACGGUAUCCUAUAAGGCAUAUCCUCUAUGUCCUACGGGUCCAUGCCCAAUCACGCGAAUGAGAGGAGGAGCCGGGAGCUGGAGGACUUGCCGGACGCUCUCUUGUCCCCCAUAUCUACGGGAUGGAGCCGCCCCCCUGGAUAAUACAGGACGAGGUACUGGAUACCGCUGCAGACGUUUUUUAUUCUUAGAUCUGGUAUUCUACGGGUCCAGGACAACAUACAGGCCACCGCUGCUACCAGUAUAACUAAGUAAAAUGCAGGGAAAAGAAGUAAUUGAAACCUAACAAAUUCAUUUAUUUUUUUGGAUACUCACACCCGAACAGCCCUUGUUCCGCGACCUCUCUCAGACAACAUGUAUUGCACAAACAAAUAUGAUUUACUCCACAAUACAAAACAUGGAUCCAUGCAGGUUCGCUUGCCAUUGGCUUUGCAUUCAUUUCAUAAAGAUUGGGAGCUGCUGGUGUGGCUCAUUUAAUCUUAACUUAUACCAGAUAACCAGAAAGGCAAAUUUAUAGUAGUUCGAGUCCAGCACUACAGCACGGUAGUAUGUUACUCAUCUGUGCAUAUUCUAAGAGGCACUGAACACAUUUAAAAAGGUGGCUCAUUGGGAACAUUUGAAUACAGAACUACAGCCAUCAGCCAAAUCAAUGCAACAGCCUAAGAUGCUCCCAUGGCAUAAUUUGACAAAUGUUUCGAUGAAAUCUCAUCCAGACCUGCCCAACACGAUUGCAUUCCGUCAAGUGAUAGGACCUCAGUGAAAGAAGAUAGGCGAUUAGGUGGAACGAAUUCUCUAUUGUGUAGGCUGUACUUAUACAUGCAAAGGCUGGAUUUAUGCGAAGGACUGUACAUGCAAAGGAAAGAAUCAAAGCUAUCCUCCUAAUGUCCUCUAAUCUAGCCUAAUUGAUACAGUCUAUAAAAGUACAUGCAGAUAUGAUCUGCUAUUAGUGCCAGCAAUGACAGAGAUAGGAAGACCAGUAAUGGUAUAAACGAGGAACUGUAGCAACACACUGCCCUGAACAGCCAUUCAAUCUCUACUACUCUAUACUAGUGUUUAGCGCGCGCCCAGCGCGCGUGAGCACAUAUGUCUUAAGAGUUUGGUGUAAGUACCCAGCCAUGUAAAACAAAUUUAAAUAUAAUAUGAUUAUAUAAUAUGUAGGCAGGAAACAAAAUGUAAGCAUAUAACGUUAUUUUUAUGUAAUAUAGUUGAUACCAGUUGCAUAGUGAAUUUAGACUACAAAACAUUCUAAGUAGCAUUCAACCACCAUAUAUCAACACUUUGCAACAUGUAAUAGCUGAUACCAGUUAUAGAGUGAAUUUAGACUACAAUGCGUACUAAGGCCCUGUUUCAAUCUCGCGAGAUAAACUUUAGCAGCUAUUUUUUAGCUACUUUUAGCCAUUUGUAAUCUAAACAGGAGAGCUAAUGGUGGUAAUUGAAGCUAAACUUUAGCACUUCAAUUCAUAUAACUAAAGUUUAGCAGGAAGCUAAACUUUAUCCCAUGAGAUUGAAACGGGGCCUAAGUAGCAUUCGACCACCAUAUAUCAACAUUUAGCAACAGUGUGCUUGCAGGUGUUAAGUUAAUAUGUACAGAUCCACAAAUAGUCUAAGCAAUUUAGUAAACCCAAAGGAUAAAAACAGGAAGCAAAACUCGAGAAGGUAUUAAAUUGAAACUAAUUUGGACAAACAAAAUCAAACCGGGUUACUUUUCUUUCUCCAAAAAGCAACUGUGCAAGAUGCUAUCUUUAUUUAAGAAAACGAUGCAAAUAAUUUCCUUGUUUUUAGAGCUUUCCAGAACAAAAAAAUGAUGCGGCAGAUUUACACACCAUAGUCUGGAGCAGAACAAUCAGAGAGUAGAUGGAAGAGUCGGGACAGAGAGGAACAACUUUUUUUUUCCUUCAAAAUAUCAGUUAAAACCCUAAACCCAAAAUUAGGCCGUAAAAAGGGAUUUCCUCACUACUAAACCAGAGAAGAAAAAUAGUGGCGUGUUGGAAUCUUGGUGCGUUCAUAAACAAAAGAAAGCGAAAUCUCAACUUCGAGUAGAUUAUUUUACCCAAAGGAAAUUAGUUGUUAACGAAAUUGAAAUAGUUGACAAAGGAAGAAUGGAAACACAGUUGGAAGAAUGGAAACACAGCCAAAAAAUAAGAUGACAGCAAAACCGUUAAAAAACUAAAAAGAAUGCAAUAUGCACUUGAUGCGAACAACUUUACCAAAAGAAAAUAGUAUAAUGAAGUUCAAUAAAGUACAAACAGAACAUAACCUGCCCUUAUUGAAGUUCAAUGAAAUAAAAAACAUUUACUUGCAGAUCUAAAUGUACCAAAGCAAGAGGAUACGACAAAAAACAAUAGAUUGGAAUUGGAACCAGAUGUCCACAUGCGAAAGACUUUACCAAAAAGAAAUAAUUGCCUUUUCAGUCUCAAUCUCCAAAAUAGAGUUCAAUGAGGUAGAACACUUCCUUAUAUGUCUGCACAUGCCAAAGCUAUCAAAGAAAAAUACUUGCCUUUUCGGUCCCAAUUUUCAUCUCGGUAAAAAGCAAGAGGAUCUCGACUAGAGAAGCCUGGAUCUAAUCCACAAAGGAAUAUGGAAAAAGAUAUCCACCGAAUGGAAACGCACGACGAAGGAUAAAGGGGAAAACACAUCUCACCAAACAAACGGAGCCACUGAGCAAGCUGACAAUAGACGAAAUAUUCGUGUGGAAGCGGAGUUCCUGACGCCUGACGCCGACGGUAGCAAAGAAAGGCAGAGAGGAGGAAAAGCGAGAAAGCAGAGAGGAGGAAAAGCCAGAAAGAACUGGGAGAGGAAGCGACACCCGACGGAUGGAGAGAAAUAUCUGUGGAACUCUCUGGAGGCAGCUGUCAUGUUCUCUGUAUUUUACCGCUCCUCAACUGUUGCAACACCACACAUGCAGCGUAGAUUCAAAAUCGUGCCGUCCAGAAAUUCUUGCCGACGUGGAUACCGUGACCUUUGCCGUUUUGUAUCGACUUUGUAAUAUAGAAAAUGUUCUUAGCGUAGGCGUCCACAGGCCCUGUUGUGCCCCCCGCGAGCACGCCGUGAUUUCUCCACGCGCAGCCCCCGCAAUCCGCCGCGCCAAAUCCGCCGCCACAACCCUGCGCCCAAAAACGCCCGCCCGCCGCGAUUUCUCCACCCGCAGCCCCCGCAAUCUGCCGCCUUUCCAUCCGCGGCCGCAAUCAUUUCCAUCCGCGACCGCAAUCCACCGCGCCAAAUCCGCCGCCACACCCCUGCGCCCGCAACGCCCGCCCCUGCGCCAAAUCCUCCUUGGACGCGCCCCGACGGCUGGCGCAACCCCUGCUCGUGCCACGACUUGCGUAGAAUGGAAGGUCCGUGGAGCAACUCCUCCUUGAUUGAGCGGAGAAUGGAAGGUCACCGUACGACAUUGGUCGAGAGGAGGAGGUUGAGGAUGGAUGCCCGCAACGCCACGCCCGCCC
rnacentral:lncRNA from 1 species